ACAGUUUGCUUUUCACCAGUAUACUGAAGAUUCGGACACUACUCGUACAUGGGAGUCUACCAAGCUGAAAACUGACUACAUAUAGAUAUGUACUUGGAGUGACGACGUCCAUCAUGGGGAUUGCUGUUGAAUGCCUAGGCCAUCAUUGUGGAUUUCUUUUCAAGCACUCACAAAGUCAUCCUAUCAUACUGGACCUUGUUAUUUUAUGCUUGAUUGAUGGGUUUGCUGAGAUAGAACUCCUGAUAUCGUCAUUGCGCG